rnacentral:rRNA from 1 species
AUUGAACGCUGGCGGCAGGCCUAACACAUGCAAGUCGAGCGAGCGGCGGACGGGUGAGUAAUGUCUGGGAAACUGCCUGAUGGAGGGGGAUAACUACUGGAAACGGUAGCUAAUACCGCAUACCAUCGGAUGUGCCCAGAUGGGAUUAGCUAGUAGGUGGGGUAAAGGCUCACCUAGGCGCCGAUCCCUAGCUGGUCUGAGAGGAUGACCAGCAAAACUGGGACGGAGACACGGCCCAGACUCCUACGGGAGGCAGCAGUGGGGAAUAGUGCACAAGGGGCGCAAGCCUGAUGCAGCCAUGCCGCGUGUAUGAAGAAGGCCCUAGGGUUGUAAAGUACGUUCAGUCGGGAGGCGUUACCGACAGAAGAAGCACCGGCUAACUCCGUGCCAGCCGCCGCGGUAAUUC